rnacentral:lncRNA from 1 species
UGUUGGAGCAGUGGAACAGCUUGGUGCUGCUUAUUGGGCUACUGAUACAUUUACUGCUGGAUAUGGUGUGAGCUUGAAUCUUGAUGGUGACGGUCACCUAUAUUUGUUAAAUGAUACCGGUUUCAACAUCAAAAGUAUUAAUACGAACUACGUUAAUGCCUCGGGUAAGUCCGUGUAUCGUGCAACAAUCGAUACGGAUGGUUUAUUUCGAUUGUACUCACAUAGUUCUAACCAAUUUGAUGAUUGGUACACCGAAUGGUCAUCCUCUAAUUAUAGAUGUGAUCCUUUCGGUUUGUGCGGUGAGAAUAGUUAUUGUGUUAUGAUGGGUGGGGAACCCGUUUGUCAAUGUCCUCUUCAUUUCGAUUUUAUCAACGAGAAGCGACAGGAAUUGGGUUGCCGAAAGAACUAUAGUUUAGUUGCUUGUGACACAAGAAAUGACCGAACUUUUGAUUUUCUUGAGGUGAACGAUGUGUCUUGGAAAAAUGAUGCGUAUUUGAGUCUUUCGUUGAAGACAAAGAACAGUUGUAGGGACGAGUGCUAUCGAGAUUGUAGUUGCGAAGCCGCUGUCUUCGAGAACGAGUUGUGUAAAAUGAUGAAGUUGCCGUUACGGUUUGGGAGGAGAGUAUUAAGUGGUCAAGUUACUACAUUUUUAAAGAUUGGAGGAGAACUUGCCGGUGUUGGGACAAGGAAAAGGAAAAGGAAGCUAAGAAUGGAUAUGUUAAUCAUUAGUAUUGCCAUGGCAUGCUUGACGCUUGGGUUUCUAGCUGUAGCAACGAUCGGCGUUCGAAAGUAUCGUGCUUAUGUUCGAAAAUACAAGCGUGAUUUGCGUUUGGUAAACAAUCGAGUUGCUGAAGAUGUUUCCUUGAAAUCAUUUUCCCUCGAGGAACUUAAAGAUGCAACCAACAAUUUUGUGGACGUGAUCGGUAAAGGAGCUUACGGGACGGUUUUCAAAGGGGUGAUAUUCGAUGGCGAAAGAACAGUAGCCGUCAAGAGACUGGAAAAAGUGGUGGCCGAAGGUGAAAGAGAUUUCCUGAAUGAAAUGAAAGCCAUCGGGAAAACACAUCACAAGAACCUCGUUCGAUUGCUCGGUUAUUGCUACGACGGGACUAAUAGGCUUCUGGUUUACGAGUACAUGAAAAACGGUUCUCUUGCAGAUUUUCUUUUCAAAUCGAGAUUAAAGGUAAAUUGGGAAGUAAGAGUCGAAAUAGUAUUGAGUAUAGCGAGAGGAAUUUGUUACUUGCAUGAAGAAUGCGAGACUCGGAUUAUCCAUUGCGAUAUCAAACCGGAAAACAUCCUAAUGGACGACGAAGGGUACGCGAAAAUUGCAGAUUUCGGAUUAGCCAAGCUAUUGAUGCCUAACCAAUCUAUGACAUACACUGAAAUCCGAGGGACGAGGGGAUACGUUGCCCCAGAGUGGCAUCGAAACUUACCAAUAACCGUGAAAGCCGAUGUUUAUAGCUUCGGAAUAAUGCUGUUCGAGAUCAUUUGUUGUAGAAGGAGUAUGGAAAUGGAUGUUCCGGAAAACGAACAAGUUCUUGCAUACUGGGCACAUGAUUGUUUCAAGGCUAAUGAAGUGGAGAAGCUGGUGCAAAAUGAAUUUGUGGAGAAGAGUAAAUUGGAGAAGAUGGUUAAGGUCGGAUUAUGGUGCACCCAAGAUGAAGCAUCGUCUCGACCGUCGAUGAAAAGGGUUAUCUUGAUGCUAGAAGGGACGGUUAAUAUACCCGAUCCUCCACUCCUUAGCUCCUUUGUUAGUUCUCCUUAGAUCAUGUUUGUGGCACAAGUUAAGACUUUUAACUUUGCCAAGCGUAAAAACCAUAGUGUCCAUGCUUAUAUAGUUGUGAAUUACACUGAUGAAUCACAGCAGGUAUAUACAUAUUUAUAUAUGUAUAUAUUAUCAGCCUGAUGAAAUUUACAGUGUAAUCAAUAAAUUUUUCUAUAAUAUUAGAACAGAGGAAGAUGUUUAGAUUUUGAAUCUUGAAUUUAUUUAAUCCUUCUUAAGAGAUAAGAAUAUAUCUUCAGUUAAUUCGGUUUUUAUAUAUCAAGAAUCUAAUGAACCAACUAAACUAAUAAAAUUGAAUUAACCAAACUGAGUUGAAUGAUAUUAUCUUCCUAUUUACGGGUGAGGAAGAUAUUAUAAAUAAUUCUAAGCAUAUUUUAAAUUAAUCAUUGAUCUUCGAAAUAUUCUAAUUAAAUCUUUAACCUAUCAAUAUUGCUAAAUUACGUUAUUGCCUUUAAUAUAUAUUAUUAACCCAAAUCCAAACAUAAUUAUUGAGUCAAGCUCGAGCUUAAGUACAAAAAUUGACAAACAAGCUUAAUCGAGCUUGAGUAGCUCGGUUUUAUCUUGAAUAGAGCUCGAGCUUAGAAAUAGAUGUUCAAUCGAGCUAGAGGCAAGUAUCGAGCUCUAAAUUUCGAGUCAAGCUCACUGCUUGAUUUCACCCAAUGUCAAAUCCCAUUUUAGAUCCAACAUGAAUCAUAAUUUUAAACAUGUGGAUCAAAUUAUAAAUACAUGUAUUUAUAUGAACAAUUUGGAUCUAAUUGUUAAAAACAGUGUAAAUAAUUUUAUAUUUGUAUAAAAUAUCGUAAUAUUUUUUGUUCGGAGAACAAAUUAAAUUAAAAUAUAAUAAAACAAGUCAAUUGGUAAUUAUUUGACCAUGCACUUAAAAUUCCAUUUGUUUGCAAUUCUUUUUCUUGGAAUCUAAUUUGUUUAUGCUUACCAAUAGCCUGACUCUUUGUGCAUUUGUUUGCUGUCUGAAUGUCAAUUCAUUUAGGCUGUUUUUGUGUAUUUUUGUUCGGGUGUAAAUGAGAUACCGGUAUUCGUAAAUUAUUUGAGUUCAAUUUAAAAAAAUUCGAAUUGAAUUCGGCAAUUAUCGAGUUUAGCUUGAGGUAUCAAUCGAGCUGAAUUCAAGUUUAGUAAUAAUUUGUUCAAUUAUAUUAAUCAAAUUAAUUGAAUCAUGAACCAGGGGCGGCGUCGGGGGGUUGGCAAGGGCCUUGCCCCCCUAAAAUGGGAAAUUUUGACUUUUGACCCUUUACAAUUUAUAAAAUUUUAAGUUAGUAUAGGUAAAAUUACACUUUGACACCCAAAAUGACAAAAUUUUGAUUUAAUCCUUUAGAAUUAUAAACAUAUGGACUAUUAAAAUGAAAAAAAAAUACAUUUUAACUUUCAUAAAAAUAUACAAUUUAAUUUCGACUCUUCUAAAAAAAAAUUUCUAGCUUCAUCCCUACUAUAAAUUAAUAGUUUAACUGAUCUGAUUACAAAUUCGAUUUCGAAAAUCUUCGUGUGGCAUGUAAAGGUUCUCAAAGCAUGAAACAUGGAUGAAAAAUGACUUCCAUGCAUACUUUUGGGAUUAAUAUGUAUAUAUAAUGAACUUAAUUAGUGGGAUAUUUGUGCUUUGACUAAUGUAUAUAUUUUGUGUUUUGAACAUACAUAUCUGCCUAUGAUUAUUUUUAAUGUAUAUGUUGUGUGGUUGGAAUUGAAUCGAUUUGGUUGGUUAGAUCGGAAAUUGGUUAAAAAUAUUAUUUUUAAAAUUUUUAAAAAAAUUAUUUAAAAAAAUGAUUUUUAUAGAUAUCUGAUCACACUUAGUUAAAAAGAUCAUUAGUGUAUAGUAAUACUAUGAAUGAACCAAUAUUGAAUAUUGGUAACAAUAUCAGCAAAAGAACGUUCUUCUGUGUUUCCAGACAUGCUGAGCUCCACAUAUUCUUGUAGGAGAUCGAUUCUGUAACAGAUGGGAUCAGUAAACGGGAAUUCAUUGAAAUUCAAUCUUUGUGAGAUCAUUAAUAUUGUACCAAAUGUAUUUUUAGAGUAUACCGAAUCAGUAUAGCUAUCCUUCCUCAGACACAACAACACAAUUUCAAAAAGUGAUAAUUGCUUUUUUAAUAAAAAUCUUGUGUUUUAAAAGUUAAAAUUAUUCAUAUAUUUUUAAAUUAUUAAUCUAAUUUGACCACCGAUCAAGAUAAGAAAACCUUAACGAUUGGUAUGGAGAACUACAUUGUAACUAUAAUGGCUUUUUUAGAACGCCAAUGCAAUACAAACAUCAAUGGAUGCACAGCAUAAGUCAGCCAAACGUUGCUUUACACUACAAUUAAGAGAAGAAAAAAAGGAGAGGGAAAAAAAAGGUUGUCUCGAGUUUGAACUUAUGACCAAAAUUUUCAGAAUCGGAUCAACGAUCAAAUUGGUCUAGGUAUUAAUUUUAUUGGUUUGUAUGGUUUGAUUAAAUAAAUUAUUGAAAAAUUUAAAAUAAAAAUAAAAAUUCCUAUUCAACCUGUGUUUUGCCUAGCUCAACCAAUUUGUACCUAUUCCCAGGUCAACCAGUCUAAUAACUUUUUUCCGGACCGGUGAUCAAUUGCUUAGGCUACUAGUUCGUUGGUCCAAUCAAUUCGAUUAAAUAAAUCAUUAAAGAUAAAACAAAAUAAAUCCAUUCAACCAGUUCAAUUGGUUUUUUGCUUGGUAUUACUAAUCCGUACUGGUUCCCAAUUCAACCAGUCUAAUAAAUUUCUUUCGAUCGGUGGUCAAAUUGUUCAAUCCACUAGUUUACUGUCCACUCAAUUCGAUUAAAUAAAUAAUAAAAAUAUUAAAAAUAAAUAUCCGAUUCAACCACCCAAUUCAAUCAAUUUUUUAUUCGAUUUAACUGAUCCAUAUCGAUCCUCAAAUCAACCAAUCUAAUAACUUCCUUCGUUACAUCUUAAUCAAACAUCAUUUUUGUUUUUAAAUUUAAAUCUCGUUAUAGAUUUUUAUUAUAUCUAAUUUUUUUAUACAAUUCUAAAACUACUUAUAGCCCCUUUUCAACUCUUAAAUAGGAAGACUCGAACUUAUAUCUUUUUGUACUGAAAAUAAUAUCGAUGCUAUUCAAAUAUACUUGUCUAUAAGAACCGAAGACUUGAAAAAAGGGCAGUAGGUUAAUUGACAACAAAUUAGUACCGUUGGUCAACCAAAGAAAAAGACGGUAGAAAAGUCCUUAAUCGUGAACUCAAGGCGUGUAUUUUGUAACGACUUAAAAAGACUUUGAAAGUUCAAAUUCUAUUAUUAGUCCUUGUAAAUUAUGGAUUUAAUCCUUAUUUUAUUUUUUUAUUAAUUUUAGUCCUUAUAUUUUUCGUAUUUUAAAAUUUCAGUCCUGACUUAAAUUACAGCCUUUACAUCGACUAGGUAAAAAUUCUGCUAUUAGUCUUGUUCUAUGCAUAAACAGUGGAUUGAAAUUCCAGUCAUAGUUAAAAACAACUGUCACUAAAUCCAAUAAAUAAAAAUGUGGCUUUUUUUGUGUGUAUGAAUAUUACGUGAAUAACAAUCAGGCAUAACGUUGCACAUAUAAUAAUAUAAUUGGCGCAUAAUAUUUUAAAAACAGUAGAAUAUAACGAUUAUUGUUUGGCCAAGACUAGAAUUUUAAAAUUAAAAAAGUGAAGGUAAAAAACAAGGGUUAAAUAUUAAAUUUAUACACGAACUUUGAUCCAAUAUGUAAUUUAAUACAUGAGUAUUGAUUUAGUGCAUUUAUACACAUGAAACUUGAAUUGUGGUUUAUAUAUAUAUAUGAAACUUUGAUUUUGAUUCAAUUGUAUACAUUUUAAAAAAUGAAUACAUAUAAUUAUUUUUAUAUUGGAUUAAUAUAAUUAUUUGUGUAUGUAAUAUAUUAAUAUAAAAUGAUGCUAAUUCGAUAAUGUAAUUAGUGGUUCGUGAAAAUAAUCAAAUUAAAUUUUCAUGUAUAAAAUCAUAAAAAAAUAAUGUUCAUGUAUCAAAUUGUACAUUGCAUCAAAAUUCAUGUAUGAUUUUAAUAUUUAUCUCAUCUAAAAAAAGUUUAAGUACAAGGACUAAAUCGAUAAUUUAGACUAAUCCUCCUAAUGCACUAUUGACAAGGGAUCGCAUUUACUGUUUUUCCUUACAAGCACUGCAAAAAAAAGAAAAGAAAAACACAAGCUCUAUCUUCCACUUUAAUGGCGUUUCUUGUUCUUCUUCUUUUAAAUUUUGUAUUUAAUGCAACAAAUGCUCAAUCAACAAGCUCUAUUAUCAAACCAGGUUCUUCUCUUUCACCCAUUAAUAAUUCAUAUUUGCUAUCGCCGUCCGGCCAGUUCGCUUUCGGUUUCUACCGAUACAAAAACGGCUACUCCGUAGGGAUAUGGUUCGAAAACAUCCAGCAGAAAACAAUUGUAUGGACGGCUAACCGAGAUGGCUCGCCGUUCCCUAGCAAUGUCACAUUGGUUUUAACCACCGAAGGUACCCUUAUUGUUCGACCAAAGCAAGGUCAAGACGUACUCAUUGCGGAUACAUCGACUAGGUAAAAAUUCUGCUAUUAGUCUUGUUCUAUGCAUAAACUACAGUGGAUUGAAAUUCCAGUCAUAGUUAAAAACAACUGUCACUAAAUCCAAUAACUAAAAAUGUGGCUUUUUGUGUGUAUGAAUAUUACAUGAAAAUAACAAUCAGGCAUAACGUUGCACAUAUAAUAAUAUAAUUGGCGCAUAAUAUUUUAAAAACAGUAGAAUAUAACGAUUAUUGUUUGGCCAAGACUAGAAUUUUAAAAUUAAAAAAGUGAAGGUAAAAAAAAAGGGUUAAAUAUUAAAUUUAUACACGAACUUUGAUCCAAUAUGUAAUUUAAUACAUGAGUAUUGAUUUAGUGCAUUUAUACACAUGAAACUUGAAUUGUGAUUUAUAUAUAUAUAUGAAACUUUGAUUUUGAUUCAAUUGUAUACAUUUUAAAAAAUGAAUACAUACAAUUAUUUUUAUUUUGGAUUAAUAAAUUAUUUGUGUGUGUAAUAUACUAACAUAAAAUGAUGCUAAUUCGAUAAUGUUAUUAGUGGUUCGUGAAAAUUAAUCAAAUUAAAUUUUCAUGUAUAAAAUCACAUAAAAAUAAUGUUCAUGUAUCAAAUUGUACAUUGCAUCAAAAUUCAGGUAUGAUUUUAAUAUUUAUCUCAUCUAAAAAAAAGUUUAAAUACAAGGACUAAAUCGAUAAUUUAGACUAAUCGUCCUAAUGCACUAUUAACACGGGAUCGCAUUUACUUUUUUUCCUUACAAGCACUGCAAAAAAAAAAAAACCACAAGCUCUAUCUUCCACUUUAAUGGCGUUUCUUGUUGUUCUUCUUCUUUUAAAUUUUGUAUUUAAUGCAACAAAUGCUCAAUCAACAAGCUCUAUUAUCAAACCAGGUUCUUCUCUUUCACCCAUCAAUAAUUCAUAUUUGCUAUCGCCGUCCGGCCAGUUCGCUUUCGGUUUCUACCCAUACAAAAAAGGCUACUCCGUAGGCAUAUGGUUCGAAAACAUCCAGCAGAAAACAAUUGUAUGGACGGCUAACCGAGAAGCCUCGCCGUUCCCUAGCGAUGUCACAUUGGUUUUAACCACCGAAGGUACCCUUAUUGUUCGACCAAAGCAAGGUCAAGACGUACUCAUUGCCGAUGCUAGUAGUGAUAACGUGUCACGGUUAGCAACUUCGGCCUCGAUGCUCGAUUCGGGUAACUUUGUUUUGUUGAAUUCAAGUGGUGGGAUCGUAUGGAAGAGUUUUGAUUUCCCGACCGAUACCAUUUUACCAGGACAACGUCUAGCGGUGAUCGGUAAGCUCGUUUCGAGUGUUGCCGAGUCGGAUCAUAGUAGCGGAAAAUUUCUAAUUCUUAUGCAAAGGGAUGGGAAUUUGGUUCAAUACCCUGUUGGAGCAGUGGAACAGCUUGGUGCUGCUUAUUGGGCUACUGAUACAUUUACUGCUGGAUAUGGUGUGAGCUUGAAUCUUGAUGGUGACGGUCACCUAUAUUUGUUAAAUGAUACCGGUUUCAACAUCAAAAGUAUUAAUACGAACUACGUUAAUGCCUCGGGUAAGUCCGUGUAUCGUGCAACAAUCGAUACGGAU